ensembl:processed_transcript Gm15910 predicted gene 15910
AACUGCGCUGUGCUGGCUCAUGGCUUCCGCCACUGUCUUGAGGACUGGCUAAACAAUGGCGUUGCUCUAUGCGAGCGGUGCAGAGCUGAAAACAAAUAAGACCUUGUGCCUUGGAGCUCCCCUUACGGCAGAGUCACUUAUUGAAGAAUCUUCAGUGAGUUAAAACCUCAGCUGAGCACUGGAGAGUUCAGGACAAUUCAAGGAAGGCUCCUGCCUCGGAAAGAACACACCCGGGAGCAGGAACAAAAGAUCUACUGCUGUUCAAAGGAGAGAGAGGGCUUGCCUAUUUACUAGGUACCUUUGCAUUCCCUGUACCAAAUACCGAGUUGGUGCGAGACAAAUGUGAUCUGAACUUGGCUUGCGUAUUUAAGUCUCAGUGGCUGUUGUUUAAAGCUUCUCCCAAGAUGUCUUCCUUCUAGUUACCUGUGCCCAUGUUUCUUAGAUCUCGGUUUCAAACAUACAGCAACGUUUGUUUAGUGAGUCAGAGUGAUAAAAAUGAUAUUAAGGAUGGAGUAAAAAGUCAAGUCUUUUCACCAGGACUAACGAAUGACUAGCAUAAACGUUCUUUAGAUGUAAGGAUAAUGAGGAUGCUUGAUCCAGCAUGGGCCAGAGAGUAUUUUAUAAAACAUUGACUUAUGAAAGAAAUGCUAACCUGUUGUUCCUCUUGGAAAGAGAGAGAGGGAAGUUUCCAUCGUCAAAUCAGGUUAGGAGAAUCUACCUGUUUCCUUCAUGCGGUCCAUUUCAGAAAGUCUCUUAUAUUACCAUACACUUUAAAAUGUGGUACAUUAUCUAUGCUCCACUAAAAAGAGGAAAGAAUACUGCCAAACUAUCAUAUAUCCUUAUCACAAUGUUUAUCUUAAAGAUUUAUUUAUUUUUAUUUCAUUGAUAUCAGUGCUUUUGCCUGAAUGUAGGUGUAGCAUGCAUGUAGUACCAGUAGAGGCCAGAAGAGGGCACUGGAUCCCCUGGAACUGGAGUUAACAGAAAGUUGGGAUCUGCACGUGGAUGCUGGGACUCCGACCCAGGUCCUCUGCAAGAGCAGCCAGUGCUCUUAACAGCUGGGCCACUUCACCAACCCCCAUCGCGGUGGUUUUCUUAAGCUAAAUCCUCACUGUGAAAAUAGUAGAGUGGAAGAAGCCGACUAUUCAAUUUUAUGAAUGAAGACAGUAAUAUGUAGUAGCGUGAUCUGAUAAUUUUACAGGGUAAAUAACAGAACUAGUAUUCCUCAUAUUAUAAAUUGAAAAUUGACAAGCUUCUAGACUAAAACCCUCAAGAAGCAGUUAAUACCCGAAGAAGUCACUUGGUGUGCUCACACACCUAUGUGACACGAGCCGGGACCUGGAGGUUGUACCCUGCGCAUGCUCUGUGGUACCUUACUCUGCCGCCUACUGCUAACUCACGUUCCCCAAGCACACGGUCAUGUCCUGCCAGCUCCACUCCCCGCUAGAUACAGCUACCUCAUCCUGGACACCCUUCCCUGUCCUCUGUGAAAUCUGCUCCCGGGAAGCCAUCCUGCCGUGUGGUGCAGAAAGCAGCAAGACACUUCUCAUCCUGCUUCUGCCUCCAUAGUUAAACGACAAAGGACCGUCUAUGAGGACUCACGAGAGCAUCCAUCAGUAAAGUACUUCCUUCCAGCGGCCAUCUCUCCGAGGCCCUGUCCUGAUGUCUAAGGUGAUGCUGCUUUUUCACCGACAUUCAUCCCGUCCACAAACAUGCAUCGGGUGCCCGUGAUGUGACAGAUGUGGUUCUAGUCUGAAUGGAGCAGGGAAUCAAACAGUUAAAAAUCUCAGCCUUUCUGGUACUUUGCAGGAUCCGAGCAUUUCCUGUAACAAGAAAUACUUUGUCUGGCCACCCAACUUUAGCCGACUGCUCCCCAGUUUCUUUUCUCUGCUUUCUUCUCUUGGAUAGCAAGAAAUGGAGGUUCUAUUCAACAAGGUUUGGGAAAUUUUCAGCUAAUGUAACACUUGAGAAUUCUGUCUAAUUGUAAAAGUAAUAAUAAUAAUAAUAAUAAUAAUAAUAAUAAUAAAUGUUAUAUAACUCUUAGUUUACAGUUGAAAACAUGGACUAAAAGGUAGAAAAUGAAGCUUCUGGGGCCCACAGCAAACUGGUAAUAAAAACAAACCAGUAAGGAAGAACUCAUAAUUUGUUUCUUCGUCGAUGCCAAGACUAUAGUAAAAGGCUCUGAAACUUGAGGUUAAGUUGUAUAAAAUCACAUGGGUGAUAUUAAAAUAUUAAUCAAGUGGAAUGAGUCAUCCUGAGAUAAUAUGUAUUCUGGCUUAAAAUAAAAUCUUAUAAAAUUACAACUGUAAAGAUAUUUACAAUGGUAGAUUUUCCUGGUUUGCCUAAAAUUCAAAUAAUCUAUUGAUUUAAAAUAAUAUCCCAUUCUCUGUAAUCGCGUGGCUGAAUGUAAGCAUCAUAAAGUAGUGUUGAAGGGAGAAGUAUUUAUCAUAAAAGUUAAUAUGUGUAACUGUGCAAGUAUAUAAUUUAUUAAUCUACUGUGUACCUAGUAAAUACUUUUGAAGCAUUUUUAGAUAAGUGAUACACGUGUGGGCAUAUUAAAUACAGAUAAAGGGGAAAUUAAGGAAUUUCUAACAGAUGUUAAGCUUUCCCAUAAAUAGUUGCUUUCAAAUGUGAAGGCACAAAAUAUCUACAUAUGCUUAUUUAUCAUUUUGUCACUGUGUCUCAAUAACCUAGCUUAAAUAACUUUAAAUUAAAAUGUAUCCAGC